rnacentral:lncRNA from 1 species
AUGACACAAACAAGAGCUCAAGGAUGGUGGCUGGGGUUCAGUCUGCCGCUGCAAAUACCAAAAGCUGUCCUCAUUGAGUCAUCCCUCCCAGAGCAGGAAGAGCAGAGAUAAAACAGCAUGUAAGCAUCUCUGCAGUUGCUGUCCCCAGAGCCCACUUCCUGGAUAUUGCCAGCUGCCUGGACCAACCUUUCCGAAAGAUCAGCCAGGUCACAGUGAGGGUCAAAGCAGGAGGCCACUGGAGGCUCCAAGGGCUCUGAAAUGUUGAGAACUUCCCUGCAGGUACCAGCGAAGAGGGCAAGAACACAGCACUACUUCCUUGGAUACUGUUUCCCUCCUCAGAGGGGUUUUCUGAGCUGCCCUGGGUCCUGUGAGGAAGAUCUCCCCUUCCUGUAAAGACACCAGUCCUACUGGAUCAGGGCCCACCCGUGUGACUUCACUUUUACUUGAGUACCUCUCACAGACCCUAACUCCAAAUCAGGUCACUUGCUGAGGUACUGCAUGUGAAGACUUUGACAUUUGAAUUUUGAGGGGGCCACCGUUUAACCUGAACCACCAAGGACAGAGCCAAAGACCCUGGGUGACAGGCCCAGAACAGGACCUGGUGGAGGCUCUUCUUUAGGGGAGAGAGGGAAAUGGGAGCCACCACUGGCAGAGCCUGAAGGCAGGGCAGCCAGAAAGAAGCUGUGGGAGUCCCCACCAUGGAAGACCCUGCCGAGCAUCCUGUGUCUCCUGAAGCAGACCCUGACAUGAGGACUGGGGGCACGUGUUUAUUAAGGGCGAUCCCCGGAAGGAGGAGAUAACCAGGCAGAAGUCCUAGCAGAGUAUGCCCACGCUGGUUAGUGCUGCUGCAAAGAUGAGCCGAAGACCAUGAGAGACCUCCAGGUGGUCCUUCUGGGGAGAAGAAAUGGGUUUUGGCCCCAAAUCCUUCUGCUGCAUUUUUCCCCUAUCCCUGGGAAGCCAUGAGACCUCAAACCUGUGUUCCCAAGGAGGCGAGCUGCUGUUCCCAGGUGAUGAUAUGAUGUGCUUGGGGAAAGUAAGUGGCUGCCAGACAUGGCUGAGAGCUGUUGUCACUGCCGUCAAGUGCAUGUCUCCAAGCCAUAUCACACGGCGUCCCUCGAUGUGAGGCCACAUGGCAAGUGGGCCGUGGAUCUCCCUCUGCCCUUUGCAAGCACGUAAGACAGCAGAUUUUGCAGAUACCUUGUGGCGCAGGGGAAUUUCCUUUGGCCAGGUCUGAAGAAAUAAAGCAGCAGGCACCGAGAACAAAGCCAAGGCUUUCAAAAGACAAGGAGCCAAAAAACUUACUCAAAAUAAAAGUAGUUUUAAAAUGUCUCUGCCA